GACAUGUGAAUGUCAGAUUUCCACCUUCUUGAGUGGUCAAUGUAGACGAGUAGAUUUUGACCUCAGGAACACCUGCAAAUUGCAACACCCAUUUUUAUUUAAAGGUAUAGGUCAUCACAAAACAUCGGUUUGAUUUAUUUACCACGUCACUCAAAACCCUUUUUAUUUACAGAAAUGUAUUACUGGUUUCGAGUCCAUACAUGAAUUCAAUGGGGACCAGUGUUGUUUGCUUACCAAAGUUCUUUAAAAUAUCGUUAUGCAAAAGAAAGAAAGUCACACAGCUUUAGAAUGACACAAGGAUGGGUCCACUUACUGCAGUUAUCCAUUUCAAAUGAAUCCAGUGAAAUGAUGUUGCCAUUGUUUAUGCAGUAUUGUUGCGAGUCGCCGUCGCCUUGUCGGGUUCUGUGCCAUUGCUGAAGCCAGUAGAUGUCACAUGAACAGAGCAACACUUGUUGUGUCAGGACACACAAACUAAACAUGGCUUAACUUUCGUCAAGCACAACAUGGUUUCUAGUAAUGAUUGACUUUUGAGCAUCGUUGGAAACUCAACUCACAUCUCUGUGACGU